GGGGGCGUAGCUCACCUGGGAGAGCGUUGCAUUCGCAUUGCAGAGGUAGUGGGUUCAAGUCCCAUCGUCUCCA
rnacentral:tRNA from 2 species